rnacentral:rRNA from 1 species
AUCUAUGGCCAUGCUAUCCUGAACAAGCCUGAUCCCUUCUGAUCUCGGAAGCUAAGCAGGGUGAGGCCUGGUUAGUACUUGGAUGGGAGAUCACCUAGGAAGACGAGGUGCUGUAAGCG